rnacentral:ncRNA from 1 species
AAUAAACCGAUGAGCAAGAGAAGUAGGUUUAGGAACGUAUUACAGAGAGCCGCUGGUUGCUGGGAAGGCGGUAUACAGGAAUUCACUGAAUGGACUUGCGAGGGCGACUUGAAACCGAAAGGGAGUAGACGUCGACGGGACCCUCCCGUUACCAGUGGGGUGCGCAUGAUGGUGCGUAAAACGAGUGGGUAAUUUAUUUACCAAUUUGGGUGGUAUCGCAGAAGCUGAAGGCUUUUGUCCCUUAA